rnacentral:tRNA from 3 species
GUGCCCAUAGUUCAGUUGGUUAGAGCGUCAGAUUGUGGUUCUGAAUGUCGUGGGUUCGAGUCCCACUGGGCACC